rnacentral:rRNA from 1 species
UACGGGGGGAGCAAGCGUUGUUCGGAUUUACUGGGCGUAAAGGGCGCGUAGGCGGUCAGCACAAGUCAGUUGUGAAAUCUCCGGGCUUAACUCGGAAAGGUCAACUGAUACUGUGCGACUAGAGUGCGGAAGGGGCAACUGGAAUUCUUGGUGUAGCGGUGAAAUGCGUAGAUAUCAAGAGGAACACCUGCGGCGAAGGCGGGUUGCUGGGCCGACACUGACGCUGAGGCGCGAAAAGCCAGGGGAGCGAACGGG